CGGUGGUGAUGUCUAAACUCACGAUGGUCUUCAGAGCCCCUGCUGUGGAGGGGGCUGCUGACAACGCCGGUGGCAGUCGCUGAACCGUAGGA
rnacentral:snoRNA from 1 species